GACGAACGCUGGCGGCGUGCUUAACACAUGCAAGUCGAACGGAAAGGCCCUGCUUUUGCGGGGUGCUCGUGUGGCGAACGGGUGAGUAACACGUGAGUAACCUGCCCUUGACUUUCGGGUAACUUCAGGAAACUGCGGAUCAUACCGGAUAGGAGCUCCUGAUCCAUGGGGGUGGUUGGAAAGUGUCGGCGGUGCGGGAUCGACUCGAGGCUUAUCAGCUUGUUGGUGGGGUAGUGGCGGACCAAGGGUUCGACGGGUAGGCGGCCUGGGAGGUUGACCGGCGACAUGGGGACUGAGAUAGGGCGCAGACGGCAACGGGCGGCAGCAGUGGGGAAUAUUGCAGAAUGGGCGGGAGCCUGAUGCAGCAGUGCCGCGUGCGGGAUGAUGGCCUUCGGGUGGUAAACCGCUUUGGCCGGUGACGAGGAGUGAGUGACGGUAAUGGGUAAAGAAGCACCGGCUAACUACGUG
rnacentral:rRNA from 1 species